AAUAUUGCACAAUGGAGGAAACUCUGAUGCAGCGACGCCGCGUGAACGAUGAAGGCUUUCUAGUCGUACAGUUCUGUCCUAGGCGACGAUAAUGACGUUACCCUAGGAGGAAGCCCCGGCUAACUGCGUGCCUGCAGCCGCGGUAAAACGUAGGGGGCAAGCGUUGUCCGGAUUUAUUGGGCGUAAAGGGUUCGCAGGCGGCCUUUUAAGUCAGAUGUGAAAGCCCACGGCUCAACCGUGGUAAGCAUUUGAAACUGGAAGGCUUGAGUUAAGGAGAGGAAAGUGGAAUUCCUAGUGUAGCGGUGAAAUGCGUAGAUAUUAGGAGGAAUACCAGUGGCGAAGGCGACUUUCUGGACUUAUACUGACGCUGAGGAACGAAAGCGUGGGGAGCAAACAGG
rnacentral:rRNA from 1 species